rnacentral:tRNA from 1 species
CCCGAGUUGGUGCAAUGGUAGCAUAUCUGAUUGACACUUGUGGGGGAAACCUUGCGAGCCCUUCGGGGAGGGAAGACUCAGGUUCGACUCCUGAACUCGGGA